AUCAAAGCCAGUCAUUUCUGUAAAAUGGCCCUUUAUAAACAGCCCUGGUGUUCAGAAAGGCAUUGUCGUGUGUGUGCGCGCACACGUGUGUGUGUGUGCUCAGCAGCUGUGUGUUCUCUCUGUGCUUAUGUACGGUUGUCUGUUCCAGCUCGUUUCCAUGACACUGGCCUCUCGACAAGCUUUUACAAAUUCACAAAAGCAGUGGCAUUUCAGCCACCGUUUCAGGCAGAUCUGUUUUCAGAGCCUCUUUAUGCUUGCGUUUUCAGACAGGUCAGCUGCGCUCCUGUACUGCAAUCCUCUCUCUGGGCAAAGUGUCCGUUUACAUUUAUUCACUGGGCAGGAGCUUUUAUCUAACAAGACUCAAGUCAAGCAGAAUCCAAUCCAGUGCAACGGAAUUCUCCAUUCUGAUUGGUUCGAAGGAUUCGCUUUCUGAAACAGCAACUCUAACAGUGACAUCAGACAUCUACUUACAGAUGGUGCAGCAGUACGCCAUUGAUGAACUUCCACUAUGGAUCCGAUUGGCGGGGUAUUUCCAACAGGAUGGCGCACUGCCGCAUUUUGGCCGUACUGUUCAUGCUUAUCUCGACCACACAUUUCCAGGUCGAUGAGUAGGUCGCGGUGGACCAUUGCCAUAGCCUCCACACUCCCCUGAUUUGACGCCCUGUGAUUUCUGGUUAUGGAGUAUGGUGAAGGAGCACGUGUAUAGCAGGAAAGUUUGAGAGAUCAAUGACAGAAUAAGGACUGUGGUAUCAUCUAUUCCCCGCAAAACGUGUGUCUGGGCUUUAAAUGGUACUGUUGCUCGCUGGUUUUUAUGAGAUGAGCACGAUGGCGAACAGGUUGAGACGGUCCUGUAAAUCAUCUUGCACAUAUGAUGCAUGUUUUGUGAAUAAAUGGUUUCUACCAUUUAAAUGUUAAGAUAAUUUU